rnacentral:rRNA from 1 species
UGUUGCUGGUCCUCGAGUGAGGGCAUGUGCACGCUCUGUUCACACAUCCACUCACACCCUGUGCACCCUCUGUAGUUCUAUGGUCAGGGGGGCCUGCCCUCCUGCUGUGGUUCUGCAUCUUUACAUACACCCUGUAACAAAGUCUCAUGGAAUGCAUGACGCGUUUAACGCAAUACAAUACAACUUUCAGCAACGGAUCUCUUGGCUCUCGCAUCGAUGAAGAACGCAGCGAAAUGCGAUAAGUAAUGUGAAUUGCAGAAUUCAGUGAAUCAUCGAAUCUUUGAACGCACCUUGCGCCCUUUGGCCAUUCCGAAGGGCAUGCCUGUUUGAGUAUCAUGAACACCUCAACUCUUCAUGGUUUUCCAUGAUGAGCUUGGACUUUGGGGGUCUUGCUGGCCUGCAGUCAGCUCCUCUCAAAUGAAUCAGCUUGCCAGUGUUUGGUGGGUGUCACAGGCGUGAUAACUAUCUACGCUUGUGGUUUUCCACCAGGUAACCUUCAGCAGUGGAGGUUCGCUGGAGCUCACAGAUGUCUCUCCUCAGUGAGGACAGCCCUUUGAAUGUUUGAUCUCAAAUCAGGUAGGACUACCCGCUGAACUUAAGCAUAUCAAUAAGCG